GUGCUCACUUCAGCAGCAUAUAUACUAAAAUUGGAAUGACACAGAGAAGAUUAGCAUGUCCUCUGCACAAGGAUGAUACGCAAAUUUGUGAAGCAUUGCAUAUUUUU
ensembl:snRNA U6 U6 spliceosomal RNA